GGGAGGGUGCGGAGGGCAGAGCCCAGGAUGGUGGAGGUCACGAAGUCCAGGUAGAGGAUGAGGGAGACGUGGAUCGUGAAUGGUUGGCUCACAUCGGCGAACGACUGUGGGUCCGAUGGAGCCAUUCUUUCUCCUAUGCGGGCUGGUAAAUCUCCUGAUGCUCAUGGUGGUACGACGGUCGACGGUACUCUGUCAGCGGGAGUUGAAGAUCAGGACGAAGCGACGGGUCAUAAUCAAAAAGCCAGAGGGGCGGUUCGGCCCCAAGCAGGAUGGUAGCGGCGGCAGGGCCCGGGCCGGGGAUGAUGGCAUGGCUCUCCAUGGGGUGGUGGUGGCGGUGGCUGUGGCAGAGGAAGCAUGGCCGAUGAAGCCAUCGCCGGCGAAGGUGACGUAGAUGGAGAAGGAGGUGUAGGCUAAGUUCUGUGAUGCGGGAUUUUGGAGGAGCCCAUCGCAAAAGGAAGUGAAGGAGGAACAGUUAAGGGUAACGGCAUUAGCAUCGGUAGCAAUCUCUCUCCCUCUGUCUUCCUUUUCCCUUCUGAUUCUCCACAAUAAAAAAUUAAAAGACGAUGUCUUUUUCUUUCUUUCAUCCACUCUUUGUUUUUUGUUUUAUCUUUUCGAGACUUGAUUUCGUUAAAUUUAUCAAAAUGAUAAAUUUAUCAAAAUGAUUUUGUUAGAUAGGGGUCAUACAAUGUUAAAUUUCACAGGCCUCCCACCGCCGUCGCCAGCUCUAUCUCUCCACUCUCGCCGCUCUUCGCAUCCUUCGUCUUGCACGUGACCGAUUAACUCUGC
rnacentral:lncRNA from 1 species